rnacentral:tRNA from 1 species
GCCAACUUAGCUCAUCCGGUAGAGCAGCUCCCUCGUAAAGAGCAGGUGAUCCGUUCAAGUCGGAUAGUUGGCUUCA